rnacentral:rRNA from 1 species
AUCGGUAAGAGAUCAGCUUGUACAGUAUCAGUUAGUUGGUGGGGUAAUGGCUUACCAAGACUAUGACGCUUAACUGGUUUGAGAGGAUGAUCAGUCACACUGGAACUGAGACACGGUCCAGACUCCUACGGGAGGCAGCAGUGGGGAAUAUUGCACAAUGGACGAAAGUCUGAUGCAGCAACGCCGCGUGGAGGAUGACACAUUUCGGUGCGUAAACUCCUUUUAUAUGAGAAGAUAAUGACGGUAUCAUAUGAAUAAGCACCGGCUAACUCCGUGCCAGCAGCCGCGGUAAUACGGGGGGUGCAAGCGUUACUCGGAAUCACUGGGCGUAAAGAGCAUGUAGGCGGAUUGAUAAGUUUGAAGUGAAAUCCUAUAGCUUAACUAUAGAACUGCUUUGAAAACUGUUAAUCUAGAAUGUGGGAGAGGUAGAUGGAAUUUCUGGUGUAGGGGUAAAAUCCGUAGAGAUCAGAAGGAAUACCGAUUGCGAAGGCGAUCUACUGGAACACUAUUGACGCUGAGAUGCGAAAGCGUGGGGAGCAAACGGGAUUAGAUACCCCGGUAGUCCACGCCCUAAACGAUGCACACUAGUUGUUGUGAGGCUAGACCUUGCAGUAAUGCAGUUAACACAUU